rnacentral:rRNA from 1 species
GAUGAACGCUAGCGGGAGGCCUAACACAUGCAAGCCGAGCGGUAGAGAUUCUUCGGAAUCUUGAGAGCGGCGUACGGGUGCGGAACACGUGUGCAACCUGCCUUUAUCAGGGGGAUAGCCUUUCGAAAGGAAGAUUAAUACCCCAUAAUAUAUUGAAUGGCAUCAUUUGAUAUAGAAAACUCCGGUGGAUAGAGAUGGGCACGCGCAAGAUCAGAUAAGUGGUGAGGUAACGGCUCACCAAGUCUACGAUCUUUAGGGGGCCUGAGAGGGUGAUCCCCCACACUGGUACUGAGACACGGACCAGACUCCUACGGGAGGCAGCAGUGAGGAAUAUUGGACAAUGGGUGCGAGCCUGAUCCAGCCAUCCCGCGUGAAGGACGACGGCCCUAUGGGUUGUAAACUUCUUUUGUAUAGGGAUAAACCUAGAUACGUGUAUCUAGCUGAAGGUACUAUACGAAUAAGCACCGGCUAACUCCGUGCCAGCAGCCGCGGUAA